GAUGAAGAACGUAGCGAAAUGCGAUAAGUAAUGUGAAUUGCAGAGUUCAGUGAAUCAUCGAAUCUUUGAACGCACAUUGCGCCCGCCAGUAUUCUGGCGGGCAUGCCUGUCCGAGCGUCAUUUCAACCCUCGAACCCCUCCGGGGGGUCGGCGUUGGGGAUCGGCCCUUUCACCGGGUGCCGGCCCCUAAAUACAGUGGCGGUCUCGCCGCAGCCUCUCAUGCGCAGUAGUUUGCACACUCGCACCGGGAGCGCGGCGCGUCCUCGUCCGUAAAACACCCCAAACUUCUGAAAUGUUGACCUCGGAUCAGGUAGGAAUACCCGCUGAACUUAAGCAUAUCAAUAAGCGGAGGA
rnacentral:misc_RNA from 1 species